GAACAGUGGGAAAUAUAACUGGACAGGCAAAUAUUUAAACAAAAGUACAAAUUUAUUUUUUAAAAAUUAUCUCAAUACUUCAGGAUUUCAACUCUCGUGCUCAUUUUAUUUCCGAUUCAUUACAGGUUCCGAAUAUUAUGGAUCCUCGUGUUAAUCCUAAUUAGAGCCCUCCUAUGAAUCCUGUGUUCCAGAUUUAUUGCACAUCUACCAUUUGCCGGACACCGUGGGACUCUGGAGACUUACUAAUUUAAAAGGGAGUGGAACGCUCUGUCCCAAGGCUGCGCAUGGUCCAGUCAAAAAGACCUGUCGGAAGAAUGGAAGGCAUUUCCUGGCACCUGGGCUGACUUUCCAUCUCUCCCUUCCCUACUGAUAAUGGUAGCUGCCAUGAUGGGGCCAUACCUUGUGUAUAGAUUGCCUGUAAUUCUCAUAAACCUUGCAAAGUAUUACUGUCAUAGAAGUGAAGAGACUGCCAGGUUAAAUUCAGUGCUAAGCAUGUAAAUGUUUACAAGUGGUCAUUGAUUAUUGAAUCUAUACCAUUAAUAAAAUAUUGUGCUAGUAGCUUUACA
rnacentral:lncRNA from 1 species